rnacentral:rRNA from 1 species
UAAGUGGUGGAAAUUAAACCAACUGGGAUCUCUUCAGUAAUUGCGCAUGAACCAGGAUAUGCUUAGCUUGACAAAUGGAGCUGCUGGCUCUGAAUUGUAUUGUGGGAAUGUAUUACCAACAGAGGUGCAGGUGUCAGCCAUUUGAAAGAAAGCAUCAAUGAGGGUGAGAGUCCUGUUUGUCAUGUGCAGCCUUCUGUGCACGGUGUAUAUUUGCUGAGUCACACUCCUCGGCAUUGGAAUGCAAAGUGGGUGGUAAGUUUCAUGCAAAGGUAAAUAUGCAAUUGAGACUGAUAGCGCACAAGUACCAUGAGGGACAUAUGAAAAGGACUUUGAACAGAGAAUUAAAUGAGUUUGUAUUUGCUAAACACAAAGUAAACAGACUUGAUUUCCUCAGUGAGAUUGUAGUGCUUGCUUAACAAUGGGUUUUGGCUGCAAGUGCGAUAAUUCUUGCUUUGUGUGCCAGUUUUUAUGUGGACAUUUGAUUACCUUUGCACAUGAAUGGUAAUUUUCCUGCGGGGUGUGGAUUGCAUAUGCAUGUAAUGAUUUGCAUGUUUGUUAAAUGUGUCUGGUGUAUUUGUUUGUGUCCUUGUCCUUGAGGUUGCUUUCUCCCUUGGGCUUACAUGCCCUGGCACACACAUUCUGGCAAAAUGCUUCUGCUUGACCCG